CAGCCGCCGCGGUAAUACGUAGGGUGCGAGCGUUAAUCGGAAUUACUGGGCGUAAAGCGUGCGCAGGCGGUUGUGUAAGACAGGUGUGAAAUCCCCGGGCUUAACCUGGGAACUGCGCUUGUGACUGCACAGCUAGAGUAUGGCAGAGGGGGGUGGAAUUCCACGUGUAGCAGUGAAAUGCGUAGAGAUGUGGAGGAACACCGAUGGCGAAGGCAGCCCCCUGGGCCAAUACUGACGCUCAUGCACGAAAGCGUGGGGAGCAAACAGGAUUAGAGACCCGAGUAGUCCCUGUCUCUUAUAC
rnacentral:rRNA from 1 species